rnacentral:pre_miRNA from 1 species
CACUAUCAUCAGGGGUUUCUUUCGGCCUUCAGCUGUUUAGACUGUAGGCCGGCGGAAACUACUUGCUGAUGGUG